AAAUUGAAGAGUUUGAUCAUGGCUCAGAUUGAACGCUGGCGGCAGGCCUAACACAUGCAAGUCGAACGGUAACAGGAAGCAGCUUGCUGCUUUGCUGACGAGUGGCGGACGGGUGAGUAAUGUCUGGGAAACUGCCUGAUGGAGGGGGAUAACUACUGGAAACGGUAGCUAA
rnacentral:rRNA from 3 species